CGGAGAGGCGAAGGGAAGAGGGUGCGGGAUGCCCGUGGCCCCCGAUCUCGGUGUCCUAGUGCUGGGUUGUGCCAUCCUCUGCAACCCCAAUUGUCCCGGUCCAAGUCUUAGGAAUGAAGAGUCCAGGUUGGAAGCGAUUCAAGCCCCGAUUCCGUCCUCUUUCCCUACCAAGGAUGGCUUCAGGCCCCCGAAGUUGGUGGGUUUGGACUUCUCUUUUUUUUGCCUUGAGAACCUGUGUGUUAGUGCUCACUGGCCUGCAAAGGAAUCUGUACAGAGCGCCAUGAACUAGAGGAUGGAGAAUGAGUGCUUGGAGAUGCCUGAGGUACGGUCCUUACCCGCGUGGCAUGUGGAGGUGAGAAAACAGGGUUGAAAACUUCACGGAGGAUUCAUCAUUUCUGCCCUGAAUUGGAAUUAAUUCCUUACUGACUUAUUACUGUAUUGAAAGUGUUUUAAUUAAUCAGGGUAUUUGUUUAGGUAAGACCUUUGUUUUGGUAAGGUUUUAUAAGAGCUUCUGAAUGACCAUAUACUGCUCUUCUGGUAUAUGUGAGCUUCAAUAUUUUUAAAUUCACAGGAUGGACUAUUUUACAACUUAGUAAAGUUAUA
rnacentral:lncRNA from 1 species